GAGAUUGACAGUCGCGUGGAGGAGGCCUUUCCAGGCACAGCCUUUCUCAUGGUAAUCAGCCCCCAGCAUCACCUCCCGGCCGCGGCCGCUCCCGCAACAUGCGCAGCUCGCGGACCCCGGGGACCGGAAACAGGGCGGCGGGCGGGGAGCAGGAGAGCGAGCCAGUCUCAACUCUGAAUGGAUUGGAUUGCGAGUUUGCACGUGAGAAAACCGUUUGGCUUAGCUUGGACCCCUGCCGCCCCCAACCCCCUUCACACACACCCCAAUCCAGGGGUCCCCUUAUCACCCUUUGCUUGCAACUAAGAAGUUGCCCACCUCCUGGUAAAACACAAGGUCGAAAUAAUUCCUUACAAUGAAAGAUCAAUUCUGUUUCAAAACGAGAAUAGGUUCCUUUUUUCAUUUUCUCCACAUUGUACAAAAUAAUCAGAAUUUGCU